rnacentral:rRNA from 1 species
GCAGCAGCCACGGUAAUACGUAGGGUGCAAGCGUUAAUCGGAAUUACUGGGCGUAAAGCGUGCGCAGGCGGUUUGUUAAGACAGAUGUGAAAUCCCCGGGCUUAACCUAGGAACUGCAUUUGUGACUGGCAAGCUAGAGUAUGGCAGAGGGGGGUGGAAUUCCGCGUGUAGCAGUGAAAUGCGUAGAUAUGCGGAGGAACACCGAUGGCGAAGGCAGCCCCCUGGGCCAAUACUGACGCUCAUGCACGAAAGCGUGGGGAGCAAACAGGAUUAGAUACCCCCGUAGUCCCUGUCUCUUAUAC